rnacentral:rRNA from 1 species
UACGAAGGGGGCUAGCGUUGUUCGGAAUUACUGGGCGUAAAGCGCGCGCAGGCGGUCCUUCAAGUCAGAGGUGAAAGCCCAGAGCUCAACUCUGGAAUGGCCUUUGAGACUAGAGGACUUGGGUACGGGAGAGGUGAGUGGAAUUCCGAGUGUAGAGGUGAAAUUCGUAGAUAUUCGGAAAGAACACCAGUGGCGAAGGCGACUUACUGGACACGUAUUGACGCUGAGGUGCGAAAGCGUGGGGAGCAAACAGGG